AGUAAAUAGCAGCAUUUCCAUUGCUGUUCAAGGUAAGGAGCAGCUGACACCGAGCUAAGCAUAUGGCUGAAAGCCAUGCACAGAGGAAACAAUCUGAGAAAAAGAAACACGAGCUUUGUUACCCAGAUUGGUUACAGAACCCUACAGCUCCUCAAGGAACAGUAUUCAUCACUACUGAUAGAGAUGGAUUAAUGUGGAUUCAUUAAGCUACAACCAACGCAGUGACUUGAAUGCAAUGGUUUUACAUAAUAUAUAGCCCUAAACAGCAUGACUGGUGUAUUUGAAGUGACCCAAGAGAUUCAGACAUUUUUGGUAUCAGCUUUUCAUGAGGGUGUGUUGCCCACUCCAGCAUGCCAGUGUAACUGGAGCUGCACUGUCAGCUGGUAACCCAGGUCCCUGAAAGGCCCUGCUCCACCCUCUCAGUGCAGAAACUGGCCUGGGACCAGCACGCUGUCUAGGAUGUUCAGUGCCUGUGACCCACUUAUUCCACAGAUCAAGAUAUGCCUUGUCUUUAAAGUAUUC